CUAAUUAUCAUAUGAGCUACCGGAUAUGAGGAAGUUUAGAGGCAAAGUGGGGGACUUGUGGGGUAGGAAAGGAAAAAAUGAAACAAGAUGGGAUUGGGAGGGAGACAAACCAUAAGAGACUC